CUCAGAGAGUUUGAGCUGCUGCUCAGCCAGGACUGGGGAAAUGGCCACAGUGACAUACAGUUUGUGACAGUACUGACAGUGUUUCAAGCAUCUGGAUUUCAGCCACAGCUCCUGAUAUGAAGUUUUAGACAAGUGAUGGGUCAAGGCGAGGAGCAGACCCCCCUUGUUUCAAACUCCUGCAUUAUCAGAAAUCUUCUAGAGUUUCUCAGGCAUUCAUCACCCCCACAAUCUGUGCAGCUGGGUGAGAGCACCGUGCAGCGGGAUCGGGUUUUGUCCGGCACCAGGUACACUGAUAACCCUCCCUAAUCAGUCGCUGAUCUCUGCUUGGUGAAAGCACUGCCUGUGGUAUUUCUGCUGAAGCUAUUUUUAAAUGACAGUGUGAUAUUUUGUUUUCUUUCUCUCAUUUGUCAAUGAAGAACUGGCUGUGCUGUGCGUCUGCUCUGACAAGAAACUUCCAGUUAUUUUUCAGCCCGUUCCAGCUGGGAUGGAGGCAGGGCUGAAGAAAAGGCUGUCUGCAGGCAGGGUGAGCCCUCCAGGGAGCAGUGACCCUACAGCCUGUCAGGGUCCUCUGGGUCCAGCUGUGGGAAAAGCCUUCUAGGUUUCUUCUGACUCUGGUCCUGAUGCUGCUUUAGGCUGGCUUUCACAAUUAGGGUUAUUUUAUGUUUAGCUGAGCUGUUACUUUCAUUGAUGUUGGAGUUUGGUUUGGUUUGG